rnacentral:rRNA from 1 species
CAGUAGCCGCGGUAAUACGAAGGGGGCUAGCGUUACUCGGAAUUACUGGGCGUAAAGGGCGCGUAGGCGGCACGAUUAGUCAGGCGUGAAAUUCCUGGGCUCAACCUGGGGACUGCGCUUGAUACGGUCGAGCUAGAGGAUGGAAGAGGGUCGUGGAAUUCCCAGUGUAGAAGUGAAAUUCGUAGAUAUUGGGAAGAACACCGGUGGCGAAGGCGGCAACCUGGUCCUUGACUGACGCUGAGGCGCGAAAGCGUGGGGAGCAAACAGGAUUAGAUACCCCCGUAGUCCCUGUCUCUUAUAC